CGCGCUCAUGGAGCGGCCGAUGUCGGAUUAGCUAGUUGGCGGGGUAAGAGCCCACCAAGGCGACGAUCCGUAGCUGGUUUGAGAGAACGACCAGCCACACUGGGACUGAGACACGGCCCAGACUCCUACGGGAGGCAGCAGUGGGGAAUUUUGGACAAUGGGCGAAAGCCUGAUCCAGCCAUGCCGCGUGAGUGAAGAAGGCCUUCGGGUUGUAAAGCUCUUUCGGCCGGAACGAAAUCGCGUACGUGAAUAACGUGCGUGGAUGACGGUACUGGAAGAAGAAGCACCGGCUAACUACGUGCCAGCAGCCGCGGUAAUACGUAGGGUGCGAGCGUUAAUCGGAAUUACUGGGCGUAAAGCGUGCGUAGGCGGUUUCGCAAGUCAGAUGUGAAAUCCCCGGGCUUAACCUGGGAACUGCGUUUGAAACUACGGAGCUAGAAUGCGGCAGAGGGGGGUGGAAUUCCACGUGUAGCAGUGAAAUGCGUAGAUAUGUGGAGGAACACCGAUGGCGAAGGCAACCCCCUGGGCCGACAUUGACGCUGAGGCACGAAAGCGUGGGGAGCAAACAGGAUUAGAU
rnacentral:rRNA from 1 species